rnacentral:lncRNA from 1 species
UAUGGUUUAGAUUCAUCCUUUAGGUCGGUGGAGAUCUCCCGCAAAGCAGAGUCCUGAUUGGACACAGGAGGUGGGCGGGCGCCCAGGGCAGGAGGGCGGGCGCCCUGCCUCUGGCCCCGUUUCGCCUCUGCUUCGGUCUCGUGGCUUCUAGAGUCUUCUAGAUGUAAGAUAGUUGCACAACACGUUAAUAUCUUUACGUAAUCCUGACAUGUGGGCCUUUCUUCCAUAUUUCCUGAUAUCCCCCUGCAGAAAUAGACAAACACCAAAACUCGUGGAAUUCUGUCAGAUAAAACCCUAAGUCUAGAUCUUGAUUUCAUUUGGAUCCUUUUCUUUAUUUAUUUGAUAAUUAAAUUUGAUACUUAAGGACCGUCAACAAACUCCCCCAAGCUUACCUCUUGCUCGUCCCUGAGCAAGGAGUUGCAAUAUAUUUAAAAAUUGACGGUACACAUGCUUUUAAAUAAGAUCUCAUCUAUGAGUUAGAGUAAACUGUCAAGACUUAAAACUUACUUACUUUACCUUCACCAUGGGACUUGUAACCGUCACUUCUGUCUUGAGUGGUUAAAAGAUAGAACAGUCUAGCCAAGUGCCAUGUCUCUUAUUCUUGAUCAGCUAUAGCUCUGGGGUUUUUGCAAAUUUUCUAAUAAAACUCAAAGAUUCCUUGUAUGAUUCUCUCAUAUCUCUCUUUUGUGGUAUUUCUGGAUCCUUACCAAGGCAUUGAUGGUAUAUGCCUUCUCUCAAGAUAUGUAGUAUUUGUGGUAUAAGGCAUAGUGACAUUGCCUUCUCUCUCACCCUACUAUAAUAAGGCUUUAAUAUCUGGAGCUCAUAGGUGGGAGAUAAAGUAUACAUACUUACAAGACAUUUAUUGUAUAGUCAAACCAUGGAUCCAAAGUAACAAAUCAAUAAGUUUAAUCAAGAUGUGCAUGUGUGGCGAAUGAAUGGUGUAUGGUGAUGAUGGUGAUAACAAUGGUGAAAACAAUGGUGGUGGAAGUCUAAUUCUACUUUGCUCUUUGAGGGGAUACAUACCUUCCUUGCCUUUGAAACUUUAUGAGGAGAAUGAGAUGCUCUUCUUUUUCUUUUCUCUCAGGUGGGUAUCUUGCACCCCUAAUUCUACUAUCGGACACUUGUCCAUUUUUACCUCUCGUCUCACUUUUUCUUUUCUUUCGAGGUUCCGAGCACUUGCUCCUUUUUGUUUCCUCAUAUCUUCUUUUUCUCUUUUUUUUAGAGCAUUCAUCUCUUGAGAUAAUAUGGCAAGUGGUAGUAACAAGAUAACUAGAGCAUUUAUUUCACAAGGGGAAAACAGAAAUAUUUUUGGUUACUCUCUCCCGGAUUAGGAGUAGAAUAUUUUUGGGUGAUUCUGGAGAUGGAAUGGGUGGAUAUAUGUGGAUGGUACUUCCGGAGUAGAAGUAGCAUAUAUGAGUGGACGUGCAAGUCUUGAUUUAACCACAUGACAAGCUCCCUAAGGGUCAACACAGCUUGACCACACUCAAUGCUCAUAAGCAAUAAAUAAUAAAUGUGUGGCUCAAAGUCUAGCAAGCAUGUAUAUAUGGCUGUGGUAGGAAUUUAAACUCUCAUCAUAUAGGAACUCAUCAUGCAAUAUUUUAAAGAUUUUCAAAAAUAAAAUUCUCCAGAAUUCUAGCAUCUCUAGGAACAGAUAAACAGCAGCUCAACCUUCCCAUAUCGUAUCCGUUAACAACUUAGACUUCAGAUCAAGUUUUCAUCCCACAAGUUUAGGUCUAGAGCAAGCUUUAAAUUAUAACAGUUAUGUCUAAACUUGAGAGAGAUCUUAAAAUUUGCAAAUUAGGCAGAGCAACUAUUUAUCAUAUCCAUGCUUAAGUUUUAUUUAGAUAUAGAUUAGCAUAGCUACUUUAUUUAUUUAUUAAACACACUAAGCAAAAGACAUAUAUAUAUAUAAGCAUAAAAUCUUUAUUUGGUUUUCCAUAGUUUAUGUGUAUUUAUAUUCUAAAAUAAUAUAAGUAUAAAGAUAGAAAUACUUAUCGGGAUAAAUGGGGGUGCUCUCCCCCAAGCUGAAUUUUGACGUAAUUUCUCUUGAUGUAGCUAGCAGGCGGCAGAGGUGUAUUUGAAAGUCAGUAGCAUUCUGACAACGAUUAGAAUGUCCUCCGUCUGCUAGUCUUCUUGAUUCUUAAAUUCUGUGGAGCUCAAAUAGACAACAUAGCUAGUGGAACUGAUUAAGUGUUAGCAUAAAUAUCUAGCCUUUAUCAUGUUGAGACUCCUUAAUAAUUGUUACUCCCUGUUUUUUAUAUUUUUGUUUUAUAAAGCAGAAAAAUAAUUAUUUUAUUUUUAUGCCACCACAGUGAAUGUACUUAUGGGUUUUAUGCCACUCGUCUACUCACAUGGGGCUUACUGUUUUUCACAUUUUUAUUUUCUUUCUAGGAUAAUAUGAACAUGAUUAACUAAGUAAACUAUUUGAAAUAAUUGAAAGGGAAAGGAUAACUACCAAGUUUACCUCUUGGCAAGGCGUUCGGUAUUUUUAAGUCCUCCGAACGGGACUCUCCAUUUUCUCAAUUGUCCUGAGGUUCGUUGGGUGGCGUAGUCGCUGCUUCCGGCAGCGCCUCCUCUUCUUGUAUAGUUAUCUUCAUUUUCCAUACCUGACUCGGUGCUUUAAUCUCCUCUGGAUAAUUCUGUUUAAACUCUACGUCUUCUGACCAUAUCACUUCUCCUUCAUAGUCUGCCCAUCCGUCCUUGAUGAUCUGCCUCCUCUGGUUGCGGUUGCGUCGCUUUCUUACCUGCUUAGAUUCUUCAACGAUAUAGUUAGGGUCAGUAAAAUAACGGCGUACCUUCUCUGAGGGGAAGUGCAUAUGGACUUCUCCGGUUCCAAUGUAGAUAAUUGCUUUAACGGUGCUGAGGAACGGUCUUCCAAGGAUGAUGGGUGGAUCAUACUCGUCUUCUCCCAUGUCAACAACUUGAAAGUCUGUGUAGACAAAGUGAUCGUCUAUUUUGACUGGGACAUCAGAUACUAUUCCUUGAACUUCUCGAAAUGUCUGAUCUGCCAUCUGGAGCUGAAUGUAUGUUGAUCUUAGUGGCAUGGUUCCGAACAAGAGUCGAUAGGUGAUUGCGGCCAUUAUGUUGACGCCUGAUCCGGUGUCGCAAAUCGUCUUGUAGAAGUUGUAUCCAUUUAUGGAGCAGUAAAUGCUUGGCAUUCCUGGGUCGUCCUUCUUAGUCAAACACGGUGACUUAAGUUGGUGAUCUUGGCCUCCAUGAACUACAGUGACCAUCUUAGCUGACUCGGUCCACACUUGCUUGUAACUGUUUCUCCUGUUGGUCCUCUUCCUUGAUUUACGUCUGGAUUGAUCUUGAAUUUGUGUAGUCUUGUUCUUGAAGAAAAAUGUCUCCUUCUUCCCUUUGACGUAGAAACUGAUCUUGACAGCACUAGCGUAGAUGAUAGCUCCCGUGGUGUUCAAAAAUGGCCUUCCUAGGAUGAUAGGUGCUCUCUCAUCAUUUCCGGUCUCUACCACUACGAAGUCUGCUGGGGCAUAUAAGGUACCAACUCGGACACAAAGGUUCCUCAUUAUUCCUUUUGGAAAAGUUAUCGUCUGAUCUGCAAACUGCAAACACAUGGUUGUCUCUAAUAAAGGAUAUGUAAAGAAUUUCUCAUAGAGUACCCUGGGUAUAAUGUUGACACUAGAGCCAAAGUCGCAGAGUGCUUCUGGGAAGUCGACCAUGCCGAUGGAGAUCGGGAUGACGGGGCGUCCUGGAUCGCCUCUCUUGACCGGCAGACGGUCAGUAGAAAAUUUAGUGACGGGGUUACUCCAAUUACCUGCAUCAAACAUGUCUACAAGAUUUGCAGAUUCUAAUCCUUCCGGUUGUGAUGGUAUACCGGGGUUAGUAGUAGGAACAGCAGCAGCUAUUUGAUUUAACUAGGAUUCAAUCAUUUUAUUAAAGCUAAUUUGAUUCUUGAUGGCAGUAGAAAAAUUAUCCAUUCUAUUACUUAUAUUUUCUAUCAUUUUAUCAUUAGAUGCCAAUUUCUUAGAUAGAUUAUCCAUUAGCUUUCCUUGAUUAGACACUAACUGUCUCAAAGGUGGAAAAUUACUAUUGUUGUUGUAAGAAUUGUUACCUUGAUAAUUACCUGAGUAGUUAGGCCUCUGCUGAUUCCAACCUUGAUUUUGUUGAGGACGGUUGUAGUUGUUGUUGUUGUUGUUGUUGAUGUAGUUUACAUCCUCAAGCAUCUCAGGACAGUGGUUGCCUGAGUGUCCAGUGUCUCCACACUCCUCACAAGUCAUGUGAGAGUCGUAGAUGUGCAUAACUUCUUUCUUGUCUCCAGCUCUAUCAUCGAGCUUCUUCAUGAGCAGGUCUAGCUUUGCAGACAGCAUGUCUACCUCCUUCAGCUGAUGCAUACCUCCACCUCUCUUGCGUGUCUGGGUCCUCUCUUCAUUCCAGCUUUGGUUGGACGCCAUCUUCUCCACAAGAGCUGUGGCUUGUGGUAUAGUAAGUGAUAAGAAUGCUCCUCCAGCUGCAGCAUCCAUGGUUUCUCGGGCACUGUUGCCGAGCCCAUGAUAAAAUGUCUGCAUCAAUAGCCAACUCUCCAUUCCAUGAUGGGGACAUUCUAGGAUGUAGUCUUGAAAGCGCUCCCAUGUUUCUGGAACAGAUUCAUCAUUAUGUUGCUGAAAACUUGUAAUCUUCCCACGGAGAGCAUUUGUCUUGCCCAUGGGAAAGAACUUUGCCAGGAAGUUUGUUGAGCAGAAUGCCCACGUAGUAUUCUUCUCCUUUGUAGCGUAGAACCACUGCUUCGCUCUUCCUAACAGUGAGAAUGGGAAGAGGCGAAGUAGUAUAGCGUCUUUGGAAACUCCUGCUAUGGUGAAUGUGUUGCAAAUCUCCAGGAAGUGUUGUAAAUGAGCACUAGCAUCUUCGUGUGCCUUCCCACAGAACUGGUUGGAUUGCACCAUGUUGAUAAGUCCAGGCUUGAGCUCAAAGUUGCCAUCGAUCUCUGCAGCAGGUCCAGUGCGGAUAUUGUCCGUAGUGGGAGCUGAGAACUCGCGGAUUGAUUUGUUCGCCAUGGCUUCGAACUCUGAAGACAAGUUCCGGUGAUCUUCUUUAUUGGAUGAAGCUUCUUCGUGAAGUGUUGAUGAUUUCUUUAGCUUGGCUCUCGUCUUCUUGAAUAAUGCUUCAGGAUUGUCAACAAAAUUCCCUGGAAGAUGUCUUCUAUUCAUACAUUCCCCUGCAUAAGAUAAAAUAGAAAAAUAUCGGGGUAAAACUGUAUGAGAGAAUAGAUAAGCUCAAUCAUAUUAGUGAUGCGAAUGAUAACUCAAAAUCUUUUAUUCCAUUCCUGAUUGGUAAUCAACCUUCCCCGACAACGGCGCCAAAAAUGCUUGUUGGGUAUUCUUAACAUCAUUACCAAAAGUAGACUAAGUUCUCUAAAUCUAGCAACGGUGCCAAAAAUGCCAAACCUAUCCCUCACACCACUUAAGCCAAGUUGUCACCCCCAGCAUGAUAUGAGAGACGCGGUAUUGAAAUAUGCAAUUGCUCUUCUAAAUAAAUAAUGAAUGGGAUCUGCAAGCGCACAGAUUAAUACCGAUGCAGCAUUUUAACCGGGAAGUAUUCUAGGUAUCGUUAUUUAUAUUUUUACCACUAGGAAGGGAUUAGCAAUCAUCACUAUUGAUUACAGAAUAGAAUAUGAGAUUGAGCAUCUAUCAUUGCAUGUAUAAUUGAGAACAUUAUAUCUAACUCAUCAUACAGGGAUAAGUGUCACAUAAAAGAUAUAUGAAAUAAUAAUAGUGACAAGGAUAACUAAUCUGAUCUAGCCACAUAAUAAAUAUGAUAAGCACCUCAAUUAGAUACUCUAGAAAGUCAUUAGCAUGGUAUUAGAACGAACUACAAGAAUAUUCUCUAAGUUAUUCUUAACUAUAUAGUCUAGCAUUAUCAUAGUUAGUGCAAUCAUACUUAGCAAUCAUUGUGAGAUAAGACUACGCCCAUGCAUAGUGAUAUUAGCAAGGAAUAUGAGAAACAUAGCAAUCACUCCCCUGUAAUAAUGUUGCUCUGCCAGCCCAAUACACGAGAGGGGGACUAUAUAAGAAUCAAUGAAGCUGUCACUAUCACGAACCACCCCACGAUCUGUCAUAUUGGGUCCAAUCGCAGAUAAAUACGGUAUAAGCACCACGCCUACACAAUAUCUAUCAUUUACCCAUAGAUCCGAUGGAUAAACGCUAUACGAUCCUAAGCAUGUAUAUAGAUCCAAUCUAACUAAGCCAAGUACAUAACUAUGAUAAACUAAGAACAAUAUAAUCUUGAAUAUAAGCAAGUAGAGCAAACUCAUAGGCAAUAUAUUGAAGUAGAACAAAGUCAUAUUCAUAAUAUUGAAGAACAAAGAUAAUUAGAAAGCAAUUAGAAGCACAAUUAGAGAAUUACCAAGAAUCCUCCUGACAGAUCCGGAAACCAAUCGAAGAUUGACUCCUUCUAGUUCUAAUCCUAUGUAGCUAUGCUAAUCUAGAUGUCUAAUUGAUGUGGUGGCUCUAAUCUUGAUCAGAGGCUUCUUCUCCCUUGAUGGAACAAUGAAUUAGGGUUGAGAGGCUCUCUCCUCCAGGGGCCAGGGGGUCUGGUUUUAUAGUCCCUCCAAGUGAAUAUGGGCCCUUGGAUCAAACCGACAUAGAUUGUAUGGUUUAGAUUCAUCCUUUAGGUCGCUGGAGAUCUCCCGCAAAGCAGAGUCCUGAUUGGACACAGGAGGUGGGCGGGCGCCCAGGGCAGGAGGGCGGGCGCCCUGCCUCUGGCCCCGUUUCGCCUCCGCUUCGGUCUCGUGGCUUCUGGAGUCUUCUAGAUGUAAGAUAAUUGCACAGCACGUUAAUAUCUUUACGUAA